UUCUGCAAAGGCUAUUGGCUGCACUGUUGUCAAUAUUGGCACUCAGGACCUGGUUGAAGGACGACCUCACCUAGUACUUGGGCUUAUUUCUCAAAUCAUAAAGAUCCAACUAUUGGCAGAUCUCAACCUCCGGAAGACUCCUCAGCUUGUGGAACUUGUGGAAGACAGCAAUGAUGUCGAGGAGCUCAUGGGGUUAGCUCCAGAAAAACUCUUGCUAAAAUGGAUGAAUUUUCAUCUGAAG
rnacentral:misc_RNA from 1 species